rnacentral:lncRNA from 1 species
UUGGUGAUACUUUUUGUUAUCAGGUAUACAAACUUGAGAACCCUUUCUUCCCCAGCUCUAUUUGCCAGUUUUUGUUUGUUUGUUUGUUUGUUUGUUUUUGAGAUGGAGUUUCACUCUUGUUGCCCAGGCUGGAGUGCAAUGGCACGAUCUCCGCUCACUGCAACCUCUACCUCCCAGGUUCAAGAGAUUCUCCUACCUCAGCCUCCUGAGUAGCUGGGAUUACAGGCAUGCACCACCACACCCUGCUAAUUUUUUGUAUUUUCAGUAGAGACGGGGUUUCACUAUGUUGGCCAGGCUGGUCUCGAACUCCUGACCUCAGACGAUCCACCCGCCUCGGCCUCCCAAAGUGCUGGGAUUACAGGCGUGAGCCACCGUGCCUGGCUCUGUUUUUUUUUUUUUUUUGUUGUUGUUGUUGUUUUGUUGUUUUGUUUUUCUGGUUUUUUUUUAAACAUAAGUGACUCCAUUUAGAUUCUGACACCUUUCAUAGCAAUAAUGUGAGGACCUUGAGUACUUUGCAUUUUUUUUCCAAGGUGUGAGCUUUCUGAGGUAUUUGACCUCAGGAGGUGGCUGACCAACAGUAUGAGGUCCUGAGGUGUUUAGGAGCCUGUGUCACAAGAUGUGAAGUCACUGAAAUAUUUUUCUUUCAGACUAUGAAUUUCUUGGGAUAUUUGGGGGUCUGAGUUUCAGGGUGUGAAGACUGUAGGCUGUUUCCCAGGUCUCUGAUCUAUAGGCCAGGCUGUGAGGCUUCUGAACCCUUUAGGGUUCUACCUCCCAACAUGUGACAUCUCACAGUUCCUUGAAUGUGAGUUCUACGUGAGGCAGAAAUUUUAAAAUACUACUAAUAGUAAUAAUAAGUACUGCAUUUAUUCAUUCCAAGAAAAGUAACAGGCAAGGCAAGGGUUAAAAAGAAAAGAACAAGUUUUCCUCUGCCUAGCAAGUUCACUUCAAAGACAGUUUUAAUACAAUGCUGUCCGAAUACCCAAGGCCAAAGGGAUGGGCUCCAGACACCCCCACCCCGCCCCGCCAACUUCCAGAGCAAGGUUGAAGGAAUAAAAAGAGAAAGACAGAUUCUUUUACUGUUACUCUUUUCCCAGGCUUCUUAAGCAUUAUUAUGUUUUAUAAAUGUCUCCUUUGCCUCUAGGGGCUGGCUUUAGCUCAGCGGUUACUUCGACAAUGCUUUCCAUGGUUAGGAAACCAACCUCUCUGGGUGGUUUGAGACCCGUGGGCCCUCUCCAGUCCUUUUGUGGUCGCCAAAAAUGUUGCGGUAAACUGAGGAACAGAGAGACCAAUAUGGAGUACAUGAGGAUUGUUGUUUAUUUUAGGUACGCACCGGCUCAGUGGAUUCAUAUUCAAAAAGCUGAGCCAGUGUGUACCUAAAAUAAACAACAAUUCUCCUCUACUCCAUAUUGGUCUCUCUGUUCCUCAGUUUACCGCAACAUAUGAGCUGGUUUAUUUUUAUCAUGGUGUUAGUUCUCUGAACUCUUUAUGGGUCCAUUUUCAUCAUUGUGAGGUGAUUACCAUUUUUGAGGAUUGGUAUCCCUGACCGUGGACAUUUCUGAACUUUUGAGGUUCUCUCCUUGAGUUUGAGGCCACAUUGUUCUUCCAAGGCAUAUUUACCCAUAUACCAGGUCUCUGAGCCAAUUUAUUGACUAUAUCUAAAAUGUGAGGACAAUGAGCUUCUUUCUUUCUUCCUUCCUUCCUUCCUUCCUCCUCCCUUCCUUCCUUCCUUCCUUCCUCCUUCCUUCCUUCCUUCCCUCCUUCCUUCCUUCCUUC